rnacentral:rRNA from 1 species
AGCGAACGCUGGCGGCAGGCUUAACACAUGCAAGUCGAGCGGGCACUUUCGGGUGUCAGCGGCGGACGGGUGAGUAACGCGUGGGAACGUGCCCUCUGGUUCGGAAUAACUCAGGGAAACUUGAGCUAAUACCGGAUACGCCCUUUUGGGGAAAGGCUUGCUGCCGGAGGAUCGGCCCGCGUCUGAUUAGCUAGUUGGUGAGGUAACGGCUCACCAAGGCGACGAUCAGUAGCUGGUCUGAGAGGAUGAUCAGCCACACUGGGACUGAGACACGGCCCAGACUCCUACGGGAGGCAGCAGUGGGGAAUAUUGGACAAUGGGCGCAAGCCUGAACCAGCCAUGCCGCGUGAGUGAUGAAGGCCUUAGGGUUGUAAAGCUCUUUUAUCCGGGACGAUAAUGACGGUACCGGAGGAAUAAGCCCCGGCUAACUUCGUG